rnacentral:rRNA from 1 species
UCCGUAGGCGGUGUGGCAAGUCGGAAGUGAAAUCUCUGGGCUUAACUCAGAGGCUGCUUCCGAAACUGCCGUGCUAGAGUGCGAGAGAGGCAAGUGGAAUUGCGGGUGUAGCGGUGAAAUGCGUAGAUAUCCGCAGGAACAUCCGAGGCGAAAGCGGCUCGCUGGAUCGCAACUGACGCUGAGGGACGAAAGCUAGGGGAGCAAACAGGAUUAGAUACCCUGGUAGUCCUAGCCCUAAACCAUCAGGACUUGGGGUUUGCCCUGUACGGGGCAAGUCCCGGAGCUAACGCGUUAAGUCCUGCGCCUGGGGAGUACGGUCGCAAGGCUGAA